rnacentral:rRNA from 1 species
UUUUUUGCCGAAUUCCUUUAAUUAAUUUCUCAUAAAUUACAAAUUUAAUUAAUCUUUAUAUACUAAUUUUAUCAUUAUAUCUAAUUUUACAUUAUUAAAAUAUAUUUUUUUAUAAAAAUUUAAAUUUUUUUUUAAAAUUUUAAUUUUAAUUAAAUUAUUUAUAAAAAAUUAUAAUUUAUUUGAAAAUUUAAAUCUUAAAAUUUUAAUUAUUUUUAAAAUAAAUUAUAAAAAUUUAUUUUAAAGCUUAUCCCUUAAAAUAUUUAAUAUUAAUAAAUAAAAUUUUUUUCAUUAAAAAUUUUAAAUUUAAUAUUUAAAAUUAAAUUUUUUUCUAAAAAAACUAGAUAUUUUUAAAAACGAUUAACAUUUCAUUUCCAAUUAAUUAUUAAAAAUAAUUAUAUUACAUUAACUUUAUUAAUUAAUUAACUCUUUUAAAUUCGAGAAAUUUUUAUUUAAAAAAUAUUAUUAAUAAACUCUGAUACACAAGAUACAAUAAAUUAAAUUUACUUAAAAAUAAAUUUACCUUUUUAUAUUUCAAAAUUCUUUUACAAUACUAUUUCACUAUAAAUUUUUUAAUUUUUUCUAUAGAUAUACUUUAACCCCCAUUAAAAUAUUCUUAAAAAUUUUUUUAUUAUUUAUAUUUUAUUAAUUUUUCCCCC